UAUUGUUAUCUCAAAAAUGAUAAACAAAUCUUAACCCAAGCAAAAGCUCAAAACCAAUUCUCGUUUCCUUUUACUUGGCGCUUGUUUCUUUCUAAAUUCUGUCUCCGCUACGUGCUUCCCUGUCUCACGUCGUUGUCCUGCCUUCGUUGCCCUACGUCAUGCCAUUGUGCAAUCGCCGCCCUGCCUCAAGCCAUUAUGCUGUCAACACCUUGUGUCACAUGCUCGCGUUGGCUACUCCCUUGGGUAUGGCUUGCUGCUCAUCUUUGCUCCCUUGAUCUCUUUUCCGUUAUGGCAUUGCUGGUUUAGGUUAGGGAUUGAGAAUUGUGAUUAUGUAUGAAUUGGUAAAAAUUUAGAUUGAAUAGCUUGGUUGGAACUUACUUGACGUGGUUUAGUGCGGAGUUGAGUUGCGGAAUCAAAGGAGUGAGGAUUGCCAGACAUCGAGUUUGCCGGAGACAAUUCAAAGUUGGGAGAAAAUCAAUGUCAUUAAGGUAUGAGUUUGAGUUUCAAGUAGACAUUAUGUAAAAUUAUAUGAAUACAUAGGUUAAUUGUCCCUAGGAUAGGUUUAAAUUGAAAUUGGUUGUUGUGAUUAGUUGAAUGAAUGUAUGUAUGUAUAUGUAUGAUUAAUUUGGUGGCAAUAUUGUAGAAUUGAGUCACACUAAAUUGCUCAUAACUUUCAAUCCAAAGCUCCGAUGGACGAACCAUUUAUGACCACGUGUUUGUCUCAAAAUCUUCUUUCAUUCUAUCUAAUCAAAGUGGUAAGAAACUCAAAAUUUCUUAUCCAAUUAUUCCUUCUCUUUAAUUUUGUGAUUUUGGUUUGGGGUAUUGAGAAAUUUUGUAACUUUGAUGGUUUAGAGGUGCUCUAGUAUGAGCUAUUGCUAGAUUUCAUCCAUAUGAACAGUGAGUAAAGGUGAAAAACUCUUAACCUCUUUCAAUUUUUCAAUUUCAUGAAGGUUAGGGAUUGAGAAUUGUGAUUAUGUAUGAAUUGGUAAAAAUUUAGAUUGAAUAGCUUGGUUGGAACUUACUUGACGUGGUUUAGUGCGGAGUUGAGUUGCGGAAUCAAAGGAGUGAGGAUUGCCAGACAUCGAGUUUGCCGGAGACAAUUCAAAGUUGGGAGAAAAUCAAUGUCAUUAAGGCGUUGACAACACAACGGCGUGAUACAAAAUAACGAAAACGAGACAAUAAAGCGAGGCAAGGUCGACAACACGAAAACACAAGGAAAGGGAGUGCGCAGCAGAGAUAUGGUUAAGGAAGGAAUAAACAAAAAGAGGAAAAAGAGUACUAUUUUUGAACUUUUGCUUGGGUUAGAAUUUGUUUAUUAUUUUUGGGGCAACCAUAAAUUUGGAUGCUGAGAGAAGAAGAGCAAAUACAAAUAUGU